rnacentral:rRNA from 1 species
AUCACUUGGUGAGGAAACCCCCGGGGCAUCUAGAGGAGCUCGCGGCCUAUCAGCUAGUUGGUGGGGUAAUGGCCUACCAAGGCAUUGACGGGUAGCUGGUCUGAGAGGAUGGCCAGCCACAUUGGGACUGAGAUACGGCCCAGACUCCUACGGGAGGCAGCAGUGGGGAAUAUUGCGCAAUGGCCGAAAGGCUGACGCAGCGACGCCGCGUGGGGGAUGAAGCAUUUCGGUGUGUAAACCCCUGUUGCUCGGGACGAACAA